AAGGUUAAAACUCAAAUGAAUUGACGGGGGCCCGCACAAGCGGUGGAGCAUGUGGUUUAAUUCGAUGCAACGCGAAGAACCUUACCUACUCUUGACAUCCAGAGAACUUAGCAGAGAUGCUUUGGUGCCUUCGGGAACUCUGAGACAGGUGCUGCAUGGCUGUCGUCAGCUCGUGUUGUGAAAUGUUGGGUUAAGUCCCGCAACGAGCGCAACCCUUAUCCUUUGUUGCCAGCGAUUCGGUCGGGAACUCAAAGGAGACUGCCAGUGAUAAACUGGAGGAAGGUGGGGAUGACGUCAAGUCAUCAUGGCCCUUACGAGUAGGGCUACACACGUGCUACAAUGGCAUAUACAAAGAGAAGCGACCUCGCGAGAGCAAGCGGACCUCAUAAAGUAUGUCGUAGUCCGGAUUGGAGUCUGCAACUCGACUCCAUGAAGUCGGAAUCGCUAGUAAUCGUGGAUCAGAAUGCCACGGUGAAUACGUUCCCGGGCCUUGUACACACCGCCCGUCACACCAUGGGAGUGGGUUGCAAAAGAAGUAGGUAGCUUAACCUCGGGAAGGGCG
rnacentral:rRNA from 1 species